GACAAUUAUCGGGCCCACGCACCUACUCUCUCGAUGUGCAGCCCUUCUUUUCUUUUCCUUUUCUUUCUCGUAAAGUAAACCAAAUGAUUAUACUUGUUAAUAAUCAUGUAUUUAUUAUGAUUUCAUUUCAUUUCAUUCAAGAAGUAAAAGUACUCUCUCCCCUUUUGUUUCAUUUGGAAAAACGCGAUCCGAAUGAGAGAACACCGGCCGUAUAAUAGAUGAUGAUGAUCAGUCGAAGUUUAUAUAUUACAAAGGAAGCUUAUCGUUUUGAGGGGAAUGUUGUCUGGUACGAGGCUAAUAAGUCAGCAAUUCCUCGGACCAGGCUUCAUUCCCCUCAACUAAUGCUUCCAUCUAAUUUGCCAAGCAUCUCUCUUCGUAAAAUAUUAGUUCGCCAAUAUCGUCAAGAUGUCGAUCCCCUGCAGAGAGAUGAUCGAUGGAUCUUCAGUGUAGUGGGCGGCGGGUGGAGUUGCAGAGCUGUUUGUAUUCACGGUAUCAGUAUAUGAUAAUAUUGAUCUCCACCCUUCUCAGCAGCUUUACUAAUUAAUAUUCUACUGAUCUCACUAUAUUAUUUAUUCCAUUGAAUAAUGUAUUGAUAUAUACUUUUAGUGACUUAGGGAUUCGAAAUUCGAAUCCUCUGCGUAGAUAUGGAAUUUCCGUGAAGAUAUAUCGGCACCGAUCAGAGUGCGGACAUAUAUUCUGUAGUAUUGAUUCCUCUUUAUUGUGAUCAGUUUGCUUUUGUAAAAGAGGUAUUUCUUUCAUCUUUUGAACAUAUAUUUCUUUACAAUGCAUGUCAUCUAUCUUCCUGAUAUAGUUGUGUGUGUGCGCGCGCGCGUGCGUGUAUCUGUGUAUGGAAAUCUGGGAGAGGUUGUGUUAGAUCAACUAAAAAUAAUUUCAGUUAGAAAGAAGGCUAGAGAAAACACAUUUCUUUACCAGAAAAUACAGCUUCGUUAGGUUAUUUUUAUUUCAGUUUCUUCAACUUAUUUACAGCAUGAUCUCCUCAUUGCACAAUUAUAUUGGUGAUCGCCAAUCAACCAUUUAUAGACUUCCACAGUUCAAAUUGUAGCUAGUUUUUUCCUUAUGAUCCUCAUUGCACAAUUAUAUUGGUGAUCGCCAAUCAACCAUUUAUGGACUUCCACAGUUCAAAUUGUAGCUAGUUUUUUCCUUAUGAUCUGUUUGACUGAUAUUCCAAUAUCCCAUCCUGUUUAAUUCGAACCUUCGUUGUUAGGUUGGCAAGACUAUACAUUGUAUACUAAUCACAACAAAAAGCUAACAAUAUAUGGCCAUUGAUCUUAGUUAUAAGCUUGGCAAAAGGCUUAUAUCAAUGAAUGAUCGGGGUGGUAAAAGGUCUAUCAGUGGCCAUUGAUAGACCUUUUCACCAUCUCAUUUUAUGAAACUAAUGUCAGUUGCUAUGGUAUAGUUUCUUGUAGUGACGGUUGGUUAUUGUAACAACUAGCAAGCAGCCACUAAAAUCUAAUCCAUUCACUUCCAUUUUUCAGAAUAUACCAAGUCGGUUUACGUGUUUAUUUUUCUAGGAUGUGACUAUUUAAAACAAAGUGAUGUUAUUUGGACACGCAUGAAACUGAUACACUUCUUAGAGCAAGUAGUACACAUAAUAAUAAAGUUCACCUCUAUUGGAGACUAGAGAGAGUGUUGCCAAAAUCCCAAAUGUAUCAAUUAUGUGUGUUUCAAUAGUUUUAUGUUUUGUUUGACAAAAAAUAUAUGGUUUUAUUGUUUCCAAUAACGUGUGCAUGAGCAUGCAUUGAGCACAAACACUCGCCUCUUCUCUUCUAAUAAACUACCUCUUCCCUUCUAAUAAACUAUUUCAUGCACAUUUCUCAGUUACUCAUAUAUAAAAAGGUUGGUAAGCUCGUUAGCUAGUAGUACUGUCUAAGGUCUGGGCCAGGCCACAAACCGCGCACCUAGUAAAUAUAUAUUUGACAAUUGUGAGUAGUGGGGUGCAGCCUUGCAGGUGUGUGCAAUGUGCGAGACAAAGUUAAAAAGAAAAAGACUUUAUAUCUUAUGGGUGGAAAGGAAAGUACUGAUGAUCACUGGAAGUGUAGGUUUUAUAUAUUGCCGCCUGCAGUCAAGUCGAUGAGGCAUCAUGCCUUAAUGCACUUUUUAUUUAGUUUUCGGGAUCGCCAAAAGCAACUUUUUCUGGUUUUAGUUGUACAAAGAUAUAUAAAUCUCAAUAGCGAUUCUUUAAGAAUGCCUGCACUAGCUGUGGGUUGUAUGCACCAACCGACCAAAUUUUGCAGUGCAGUAGUUGCUCUCUUUUUAUUGGGAGCUGGGAUUAGUUAUUGCAUUGAUCAAGCAUGUACUGCAUGUGAAACACAAAAUGUGUACAUACUGAGAAUGUAUAUGUAACGUCUGCAUGAUUAUAGUAAAAUGUACAUAAGAAUCUAAUUCACUUCCUGAACCACCAGCGGUUGACUCUAGGCAUUUAGUCCUUACUCUUUCUGACAACAGCGCUUACGUCUAUGACACCACCACUGGUACCGGCUAGUAAAGUAGCUUUUCCCAACAUGCUAUAGUGCCUCCCAAUGGGUAGGAGCAGAUCGAGUUCGUAUUGCUGCAGAGCAACUGACUUUCUUUCCUCCCUGAUUGGUUUUCUUGCCUGAAAUGACUUUCCGAAGGAAAAAAGGACUUAGCGCUUGAAACUCCUAGCUCAACUAGCGCUUUGCGCGGGUAGAAGGACUAAUUCAGUCUAUUGGGGCCUAGAGGAGCUAUAGACUCUAGUUAGUCAGUUUCCUGGUGACUCCUUUGUCUUGGAGGAAUGGAAGAUAAUGACAUAGAAACAACAUCGUAUUCUUGUAUAGGAAAUUGCUCAUAUACAUAAUAGGGUGAGUAGUGGGUGGCACUUGCAGGUGCGCAAUGUGCGAAACAAAUCAAUUAAAAAGAAAAACUUCGUAUUGCCAUAUUGUCACAAGUUACAGAAAGCGAUUGCUGGAAAUGUAGGUUUUAUAUAUAUUGCCACACCUACGGACUGCAGUCAAGUGAGUCGAUGAAGCAUCAUGCCUUAAUGCACUUUUUAUUUCCAUUAUUCGGCCAAAUGUAAUAGAUGAACAUAACUCAAUUAAUAUAUUGCACUAAUUUUGGAUC